GCUCGCCUACCUCAGUCGGUAAAGCAUGAGACUCUUAAUCUCAGGGUCAUGGGUUCAAACCCCAUGUUGGGUG